rnacentral:rRNA from 1 species
UACGUAGGGUGCGAGCGUUGUCCGGAAUUAUUGGGCGUAAAGAGCGUGUAGGCGGCCAUGCAGGUCCGUUGUGAAAACUCGAGGCUCAACCUCGAGACGUCGAUGGAAACCGCAUGGCUAGAGUCCGGAAGAGGAGAGUGGAAUUCCUGGUGUAGCGGUGAAAUGCGCAGAUAUCAGGAAAAACACCCGUGGCGAAGGCGGCUCUCUGGGACGGUACUGACGCUGAGACGCGAAAGCGUGGGGAGCGAACAGG